UAGAAAUACAUCAAUUCCUAACCAAAUCAAACAAAAAUGAAAAAUAAUGAAUGGAAAGGAUUUGAGCAAACCAUCAAAUCAAAGAGUAAAGCCCAACAGAACUUGUCAACCAUGCUCAUCCCACAAUUUCUUUUAUAAACCUAUCACACAUAAAAAAGAAACAGACAUAUCCACCUCAAAUGUCAGUUUGUAACAGUACUCUCGUAGUGACAGUUAAAACCAAGAUCAGAAUCAAACAAACAAGUUUAGCCAGUUAAAAAUUUAUCCAGAAAAAACUUCUCUUCCAGUAAAUGAAACCCUCAGCGUCACAAUGAACAGAUUGCACACCUACACCAUAACAGGCUCGAAGAUCAUAACCUUCAAUGAUCAAGUAUUGCUCUUGCAUGGACAAACACGGAAUGAUACAUGUACCUUCUAGUACUAAUACGAGACACUGGACCGUUCCAAAUCAACCACAUAAGAAUAAUAUUGAAACGAGAGUGACUACAACCAUUCCAAAUAAUAAUCUACCGCCAUGUCCCCCACAAACAACAGACAUCCAUAGCAAGCAAGUUUUCACUGCAAAUGCCAAAGCCUCUCAUACUCAUAUAGUGCCUGUUUACAGGAACUCCCACUCCAAAUGUUUAGCCAGAAAAAUAAUUGCGAAGAAAAUAAAGAAUGCUAAGACAAUAGAACCUAAGGUUUCCCUGGAUAUCCAACCACUGCUUCUCAAACCUUCCCACCAACCACCAUUUGCACACCCCACACCAACUUCAUUUUAGUUUCACUGUAAAGCCCUUGCAUAGAAAAAAAAUAUAUAAUCAAUCUGGGUAGAAGAUGAAGGAGGUAAUCAAUAAGAUAAAAACACAUUCAGGAAUUAGAAUUCUAAAGGAGAAAUUUCCAAAACAGGCUUGAUGAUCAUAAUGUUCAGCAUUAUUGAUCUUGCACCAUAGCCGGAACAUGUAACUUUCUACAACCAAUAGAUUAAAGCCCUUCCAACUCAAGCAGACAAAAAAAGAAUAGUAAAUGAGAACAUAAUAAAACAUGAAGCUUUGUAGUAAGUUAAAUAAUCUAAAUCCACUGCAUCCAGAUAUUUUAGACAUCUUCACUGCAAAAUGAAUCGAAGAGCAUAGUCAAAAUCAACAGCCAACUGUCAAGAUUGGGUAGAAGAUGAAGGACCAAGACCCCAUUCAAUUCAAAAAAUUCGGAUAGAAGCUGAAAGAUCCAAAACCAUAAAGAUCAAUAAAAAGAUUGAGGAACCAAAAUACUAAUUGAGAAAAUUCCACAGUAAGCACGAUCAUCAAAAGGUUCUGACCAUAACAGAUUCUCUAACCAUAAUUGUCCAGUGAACAUGUACCUUCCUACAACUAAUAAGAGAGACUAAAGUCACUUGAGAAGACAAGAAAAAUAGUAGACGAGAAUAUAAUAAAACAUGAAGUUUUGCAGUUCAACAGAGUCAACUGUCCAACAAGCCAACACCCAUUCCACAAGUUUAGUUUGAAAAUUAAGGGCAAGGAAAAUAAUGUAAGCAGAGAUAAUAAAACAAAGGGGGGUUUCACUGGAACUCCAUCCAUUGUUACAAUCCACUGUUUCCGAAGUUGCCCACCACCCACCAUUUGCACACCCUGAACCCACUUCAAUUCUUAGUUUUCUUGUAAGGCCCAUUUAUUAACUAUAAUUAAUCGACCUAGAUCAUAAGAAAAUAAUAAAAUAUCAAAAAGCAAUCGAGAAAUUUCCAAAACAAGCUCGAUCUUCAUAAUGAUCCCACCAUCAAUUAUUGCUCUUGCAUAGACAAACACCAUGGCCAAAACAUGUACCUCCCUACUACCAACAAGAGAGACUACAGCCAAUCCAACUUGAGCAGACAAGAAAAAUAGUAUAUAAGAAGGUAAUAAAACAUACUGCAUCAAUCCACUAUCCUCUUAACUGCAAGAUGAGUAAAAGAAGAUAAUCAAAACCAACAGCCAACUGGCUAACAACACAAAUGCCAAAACCUGUCACUCAUAAAGUAUCUACUUUUAAGAUCUCCCACUACACAAAUUUAGUUUGAAGGAUAACGGCAAUGAACAUAAUGAAUUCAAAAAUAAUAAAACCUAAGGUUCACCAAAUUUCCAUACGGUUACCGGAACCUCGCCACCACCCACCAAUUGCACAUCCUGCACGCAUUUCAUUUCUUAGUUUCCGUGUAAAGCCCAUCAAUUCAUGAAAACAAUAAUCAAAUUUGGUAGAAGAUGAAGGACCAAGACCCCAUCCAUUCAAGAAAUUUGGAUAGAAGAUGAAAGACCCAAAACGAUAAGAUCAAUAAACAAAUUCAGGAACCGAAAUACUAAUUGAAAAAAUUCCAUAAUAGGCUCGAUCAUCAUACUUUGAUCAAGUAUUGCUCAAGUUUAGACAAACACCAUGACUGACACAUGUACCUUCCUACAACCAAUUCGUUUUCAUGUAAAGCCCAUGUAUUCAAUAAAACUAAAAUUAAUCUGGAUAAAAGAUGAGAGACCUAGAAGAUAAGAUGAAUAAACAAAUUCAGGAAUUAAAAAACCAAUGGAGAAAUUUCCAUAAGAGAUUCUCUGACCAUAAUGGUCCAGUGAACAUGUAGCUUCCUACAACCAAUAAGAGACUAAAGCCACUUGAACAUACAAGAAAAAUAGUAGAUGAGAAUAUAAUAGAACAAAGUUUUACAGUAAGUUAAAUAAUCUACACCUACUGCAUUCACGAUCCAAUAGCCAUCUUCACUGCAUGAGUAGAAGAAGAUAAUCAAAAUCAAUAGAGUCAACUGUCCAACAACCCAACACCCAUUCCACAAGUUUAGUUUCAAAAAUAAGGGCAAGGAAAAUAAUGUGUAAGCAGAGAUAAUAAAACAAAGGGUUUCACCGGAACUCCAUCCAUUGUUUCCGAAGUUGCCCACCACCCACCAUUUGCACACCCUGCACCCACUUUAAUUCUUAGUUUUCUUGUAAGGCCCAUCUAUUAACUAUGAUUAAUAGACCUAGAUCAAAAGAAAAUAAUAAAAUAUAAAAAGCAAUGGAGAAAUUUUUAAAACAAGCAUUAUUGCUCUUGCAUCCCAUCAUAAUGAUUCCACAAUCAUUAUUGCUCUUGCCUACACAAACACCGUGGCCAAAACAUGUACCUUUACAACCAACAAGAAAGUAAAAAACCAAUCCAAAUUGAACAGACAAGAAAAAUAGUAUAUGAGAACAGUAUAUGAGAACAUAAUAAAACAUACUGCAUCAAUCCACUAUCCUCUUAACUGCAAGAUGAGUAGAAGAAGAUAAUCAAAACCAACAGCCAACUGUCCAACAUCACAAAUCCCAAAACCUGUCACUCAUAAAGUAUCUACUUUUAAUAUCUCCCACUCCACAAGUUCAGUUUGAAGGAUAACGUCAAUGAACAUAAUGAAUUAAAAAAUAAUAAAACCUAAGGUUCACCAGAUUUCCAUCCACCGUUACCAAAACUUGCCCACUACCCACCAAUUGCAAAUCCUGCACCACCACCCACCAAGUGCAAAUCCUGCACACAUUUCAUUUCUUAGUUUCCGUGUAAAGCCCAUCAAGUCAGGAAAACAAUCAUCAAAUUUGGUAGAAGAUGAAGGACCAAGACCCCAUCCAUUCAAGAAAUUUGGAAAGAAGAUAGAAGACCCAUAACCAGAAGAUCAAUAAACAAAUUCAGGAGCCGAAAUACUAAUUGAGGAAACUCCAUAGUAGGCUCGAUCAUCAUAAGGUUCAGCGAUCAAGUAUUGCUCAAGCUUAGACAAGCACCAUGGCUGACACAUGUACCUUCCUACAACCAAUACCUUUUCAUGAAAAGCCCGUGUAUUCAAUAAAACUAAAAUUAAUCUGGGUAAAAGAUGAGGAACCUAGAAGAUAAGAUAAAUAAACAAAUACAAUAAUUAAAAAAGCAAUUGAGAAAUUUUCAUUACAGAUUCUCUGACCGUAAUUGUCCAAUGAACAUGUACCUUUCUACAAGUAAUAAGACAUACUAAAGCCACUUGAGCAGACAAGAAAAAUAGUAAAUGAGAAUAUAAUAAAACAUAAAGUUUUGCAGUAAGUUAAAUAAUCUACACCUACUGCAUGCACGAUCCAAUAGACAUCUUCACUGCAUGAGGAGUAAAAGAAGAUAAUCAACAGAGUCAACUGCACAACAAACCAACACCCCAUUCCAUAAGUUUUGUUUGAAAAAUAAGGGCAAGGAAAAUAGUGAACACAUUGAUAAUAAAAUAAAGGGUUUCACCAGAACUCCAUCCAUUGUUACCAUCCACUGUUUCAGAACUUGCCCACCACCCACCAUUUCCACACCUUGCACCCAAUUAAAUUCUUAGUUUUCUCGUAAGGUCCAUUCCACCUAGAUCAUCAUCAUAAUGAUAUCCCGCAAUCAAUUAUUGCCUUAGCAUAGACAAACACCAUGGCCGAAACAUGUACCUCCCUACAACACACAAGAGAGACUAAAGCCAAUCCAACUUGAACAAGACAAGAAAAAUAGUAUAUGAGAACGUAAUAAAAGAAACUGCAUCGAUCCAAUACCCUCUUAAACUGCAACAUGAGUAGAAGUUAAUCAAAAUCAACAGCCAACAGUCUAAUAACAAAAAUGUCAAACCUUGUCACUCAUAAAGUAUCUACUUUUAAGAUCUCCCACUCCACGCAUUUAUUUGAAGAAUAACCGCAAUGAACAUAAUGAAUUCAAAAAUAAUAAAACCUAAGGUUCACCAGAUUUCCAUCCACGUUACCAAACCUGCCCACCACCCACCAUUUGCACACCCUGCACACAUUUCAUUUCUUAGUUUCUGUGUAAAGCCCAUGAAUUCAAAAAAACAAUAAUCAAUUUGGGUAGAAAAUGAAACACCAAGACCCCAUCCAUUCAAGAAAUUUGGGAAGAAGAUGAAAGACCCAAGACCAUAUGAUGAAUAAACAAAUUCAGGAACCAAAAUACAGAUUGAGAAGCAUCCAUAGUAGGNUCGAUCAGCAUANGGUUNGACAAUCAAGUGUUGCUCAUGCUCAGACAAACACCAUGACUGACACAUGUACCUUCCUACAACCAAUACAUUUUCAUGUAAAGUCCAUUUUUUCAAUAAAACUAUAAUUCAACUGGGUAAAAGAUGAAGGACCAAGAUGAUAAGAUGAAUAAACAAUUUCGGGAAUUAAAAAACCAAUGGAGAAAUUUCAAUAACAGAUUCUUUGACCAUAAUUUUCCAGUUAACAUGUACCCUCCUACAACCAAUAAGAGAGAUUAAAGCCACUUGAGCGGACUAGAAAAAUAGUAAAUGAGAAUGUAAUGAAACAUAGAGUUUUGCAUUAAGUUAAAUAAUAUACACUUACUGCAAGCCAAUAGACAUCCUCUUCAGUGCAAGAGGAGUGGAAGAAGCUAAACAAAAUCAAUAGAUUCAACUGUCCAACAACCCAUAUGCCAAAGCCUCUCACUCAUAGAGUGCCUACUUCCAUGAUCUCUCACUCCAAAAGUUAGACCCAAAAGUCAAAGCCUCUCACUCAUAGACUGCCUACUUUAAUGAUCUCCCACUCCAAAAGUUAGACCCAAAUGUCAAAGCCUCAAACACACUUCAUUUACUUCAAGCAUCUCCCAUUCCACAAGCUUAGGCUGAAUAAUAACGGAAAUGAAAAUAAUGAAUGCAAAUAUAAUAGAACAAAGGCCUUCACACCAGAACGCCAUCCACUGUUGUGCCAAGCACCCACAAUUUGCACACCCUGCACCCACUUCAUUUCCCAUCAAUUCAAGAAAACUAUAAUUAAUUUGGAUAGAAUAUGAAGUACCUAGACGGUAAGAUAAAUAGACAAAUACAAAAUUAAAAAAUGCAAUGGAGAAAUUUCCAAAACCGGCUCAAUCAACUUAACAGCGAUCAAUCAUUGCUCUAGCACAGACAAACAGCGUGGCAACAUGUAACCCGAAACAUCUACCUACCUAUAACCAAUAAGAGAGACUAAAGUCAUUCCAAUUCGAGCAGGCAAGAAAAAUAGUACAUGAGAAUGAAAGGAAACANAAAGCUCUCUAGUAAGUUCAAUAACCUACUGCAUACUCGAUCCAAGAGACAUCCUCUUCAUUGCAACAUGAGUAGAACAUUAAUCAAAAUCAACGGCCAAUGGUCCAAGUCUGCCACUCAUAGAGCAUGUACUUUCAAGUUUAGUUUGAAGAAUAACGGCAAUGAAAAUAAUGAAUUCAAAAAUAACAAAACUUAAGGUUAACCAGAUUUCUAUCCACCAUUACCGAAACCUGUCCACCACCCACCAUUUGCACACCCUGCACACAUUUCAUUUCUAAGUUUCCGUGUAAAGCCCAUCAAUUCAAGAAAACAAUAAUCAAUUUGAGUAGAAAAUGAAGGACCAAGACCCGUCCAUUCAAGAAAAUUUGGUAGAGGAUGAAAGACCCAAGACAAUAAGAUGAAUAAACAAAUUCAGGAACCAAAAUACUAAUUGAGAAACUUUGAUAGUAGGCUCGGUCAUCGUAAGGCUCAGCUAUCAAAUAUUACUCAUGCUUAGACAAACACCAUGGCUGACACAAGUACCUCCUACAACCAAUACAUUUUCAUGUAAAGUCAACGUAUUCAAUAAAACUAUAAUUAUUCUGGGUAGAAGAUGAAGGACCUAGACGAUAACAUGAAUAAAAAAAUUCAGGAAUGGAGAAAUUUCCAUUACAGAUUCUCUGACCGUAAUUGUCCACUGAACAUGUACCUUCCUAGAAGUAAUAAGAUAGACUAAAGCCACUUGAGCAGACUAGAAAAAUAGUAAAUGAGAAUGUAAUCAAACAAAGCUUUGCAGUAAGUUAAAUAAUCUACACCUACUGCAUGCNCGAUCCAAUAGAAAUAAAUCCCCUUUACUCCAAGAGGAGGAGUAGAAAAAGACAAUCAAAAUCAACAAGUAAACUGUUCAACAACCCAAAUGUCAAAGCCUCUCACUUAGGGUGUGUUCACUUGGGUGAUAGGAGGUGAUUGGGGGAGAGUAAUUAAGGGGAUUUGAGGAUAAUAUUUUUUGUUGUUUAUUUGAGUGAAUUUGAAGGUAAAUGAAAAUGAAUUUUGGUGUAAAUUUUUUUAAUUUGUCAUAUAAACUAAAUCGUACACCAAUUCUCACAAACUUUAUUUCAAAAUUCACUCUUGUUUAUCUCCAAAUUCACUCAAAUAAACAACAAAAAAAAAUUAUCCUCAAAUCCACUCAAUCACUCUCCUCCAAUCAAUCUCCUCCAAUCACCCUCAAGUGAACACACCCUUAGAAUGCCUACUUUCAAGAUCUCCCAUUCCACAAAUUAGUUUGAAAGUAACNCAAAUAAAACUGAUGAAUGCAAAGAUAAUAAAACAAAGGGUUUCACCAAGCUCCUUCCAUUGUGACCAUCUCCGAAGUUGUCCACCGUUUGCAUACCCUGCACCCACUUCAUUUCUAAGUUUUCUUGUAAAGCCCAUCCAUUAACUAUAAUUAACGUGGGUAGAAGAUGAAAGACCUAUAUGAAAAGAUAAAUAAACAAAUACAAUAAUUAAAAAAGUAAUUGAGAAAGUAAUUGUCCAGUGAACAUGUACCUUCCUACAAGUAAUAAGACUGACUAAAGCCACUUGAGUAGACAAGAAAAAUAGUAUAUGAGAAUAUAAUAAAACAAAGUUUUGCAGUAAGUUAAAUAAUCUACUCCUACAGCAUGCACGAUCCAAUAGACAUCUUCACUGCAUGAAGAUAAUCAACAGAGUCAACUGUCCAACAACCCAACACCCAUUCCACAAGUUUAGUUUGAAAAAUAAGGGCAAGGAAAAUAAUGUUAGCACAGAUAAUAAAACAAAGGGUUUCACCGGACCUCCAUCCAUUGUUACAAUUCACUGUUUCCGAAGUUGCCCACCACCCACCAUUUGCACACCCUGCACCCACUUCAAUUCUUAGUUUUCUUGUAAGGCCCAUCAAUUAACUAUAAUUAAGUGACCUAGAUGAUAAGAAAAUAAUAAAAUACAAAAAGCAAUCCAGAAAUUUCCAAAACAAACUCGAUCAUUAUAAUGAUCAUCAUAAUGAUCCCACUGUCAAUUAUUGCUCUUACAUAGACAAACACCAUGGCCGAAACAUGUACCUCCCUACAACCAACAAGAGAUACUAAAGCCAAUCCAUCUUAAACAGACAAGAAAAAUAGUACAUGAGAAUGACAAAAGACAUAAAGCUCUGUAGUAAGUUAACCUACAACUACUGCAGCCACGAUCCAAAAGACAUCCUCUUAACUGUGACAUGAGUAGAAGAAGAUUAAUCAAAAUCAACAUCCAACAGUCUAACAAACAAAUGUCAAAGCAUGUAACGCAUAAAGUAUCUACUUUUAAGAUCUCCCACUCCACAAGUUUAGUUUGAAGAAUAACGGCAAUGAACAUAAUGAAUUCAAAAAUAAUUAAACCUAGGGUUCACCAGAUUUCCAUCCACCGUUACCAAAACCAGCCCACCACCCACCAUUUGCACACCCUGCACACAUUGCAUUUCUUAGUUUGCAUGUAAAGCCCAUCAAUUCAAGAAAACAAUAAUCAAUUUGGGUAGAAGAUGAAUGACGAAGAUAAUAAGAUGAUAAACAAAUUGAAGAAUUGGAAAACCAAUGGGAAAAUUUCCAUAUCAGGAUAGUUGACCAUAAUGUCCGGUGAUCAAGUAUUGCUCUUGUUUAAAGAAACACCAUGGCCAAAACAUGUAUCUUCCUACAACCAAUAAGAGAGACUAAAGCCACUCAAAUAGACAAGAAAAAUAGUAAAUGAGAACGUGAUAAAACAAAGGGUUUCACCAGAACUCCAUACCCAUCCACUGUUACUGAACCAGUUGAACCAGUCAACCACUCACCAUUUGAACACCCUGCACCAACCUCAUUUCUUAGUUUUCCUAUAAAGCCCAUAAUACAAGAAAACUACAAUCAAUAUGGGUUAGAAGACAAAGGACCUAGAUGAUAAGAUGAAUAAACAAAUACAACAAUUAAAAACCAAUGGAGAAAUUUCCAUUAGAGGCUCUUGCUUAGACAAAGACAAUGGCUGACACAUGUACCUUCCUACAACCAAUAAGAGAGACAACAACAAAAUUCCAACUCAAGCACAUAAAGCAAAUGGAAACAUAAUAAAACUUAAAGCUUGAUCGUAAGUUAAAUAAUACACAGUUAUUGGCUCUACGAUCCAAUAGACAUCUUCACUGUAAACCAACAGAGUCAACGUCCAACAACACAAAUGUCAGCCUCUCACUCCUACGAUGCGUAUUUAGAAGAUCUCCUACUCCACAAGUUUAGCUUGAAGAAUAAUGGCUAUGAAAAAUAUGAAUGCAAAGAUAAUAAUAUCCAAGGUUUCACCGGAUCCAUUGCUUUUGAAAGCUGCGCAAAACCCAACAACCACCACCCACCAUUUGCAAAUAUUGCUCUUGCAAUGGCUGACAAGUGUACCUUCCUACAACCAAUAAGAGAGAGAACAACAAUUCUAACUCGAACACAAAGUAAAUAGAAACGUAAUAAAACAGAAAGCUUUGUAGUAAGUAUAAAACAAAGCUUUGUAGUGAGUUAAAUAAUCUACCGCUUUUGGCUGUACGAUCCAAUAGACAAGACUAGAAGAAGAAGAUAAUCAACACAACAGAGUCAAUGAUCCAACAACACAAAUGUCAAAGCCUCUCACUCGUACAUCGCCUAUUUAGAGGAUCUCCCACUCCACGUGUUUAGCUUAAAAAAUAAUGGCAAAGAAAAAUAUGAAGGCCAAGAUAAUACAAUCCAAGGUUUCUCCGCAUCCUUCCCAAACCUGCCCCCACCACCCACCAUUUGCACGUACUUCAUUUCUAAGGUUCCCUGUAAAGCCCAUGAAUUCAAGGAAACUUUAAUUAAUAUGGGUAGAAGAUGAAGAACCUAGACGACAAGAUGAUACUUUCAGCGAUCAAGUAUUGCUCUUGCUUAGAGAAACACAAUGGCUGACACACGUAAAACCUACAACCAUUAAAAGGCUACAGUGAUUCCAACUGAAGCACAUAAGAAAAAUAGUAAAUGGAAACUUAAUAAAAUAUAAAGCUUUAUAGUAAGUUCAAUAAUCUAAUGAUAUUGCCUCCACGACCAAUAGACAUCCUUUUCGCUGCAAAAAGACUGGAAGAAGACAAUCAAAAUUAGCAGAGAACAGUCCAGUAACACAAGUGCCAAAGCCUCUCACUCAUAUAGCACCUAUUCACAAAAUGUUCAACUCCACAAGUUUUAGCCAGGAGAAUAACGGCAAAGAAAAUAACAAAUGCAACNN
rnacentral:lncRNA from 1 species